GGGUUGUGAGGUUAAGCGACUAAGCGUACACGGUGGAUGCCCUGGCAGUCAGAGGCGAUGAAGGGCGUGCUAAUCUGCGAUAAGCGCCGGUAAGGUGAUAUGAACCGUUAUAACCGGCGAUACCCGAAUGGGGAAACCCAGUGUGAUUCGUCACACUAUCAUUAACUGAAUCCAUAGGUUAAUGAGGCGAACCGGGGGAACUGAAACAUCUAAGUACCCCGAGGAAAAGAAAUCAACCGAGAUUCCCCCAGUAGCGGCGAGCGAACGGGGAGGAGCCCAGAGCCUGAAUCAGCAUGUGUGUUAGUGGAAGCGUCUGGAAAGGCGCGCGAUACAGGGUGACAGCCCCGUACACAAAAGCGCAUGUGCUGUGAGCUCGAUGAGUAGGGCGGGACACGUGGUAUCCUGUCUGAAUAUGGGGGGACCAUCCUCCAAGGCUAAAUACUCCUGACUGACCGAUAGUGAACCAGUACCGUGAGGGAAAGGCGAAAAGAACCCCGGCGAGGGGAGUGAAAAAGAACCUGAAACCGUGUACGUACAAGCAGUGGGAGCCCCACCACUAAGCCAGUGGUGAACUCCACAUACGCAUCCUUUGCUGAGGAUACGGUUAACGGAGCGAAAGCGACGUUCAACCGCAAAACAAGCAGAGGGGGCUUAGUGGUGGGGUGACUGCGUACCUUUUGUAUAAUGGGUCAGCGACUUAUAUUCUGUAGCAAGGUUAACCGAAUAGGGGAGCCGUAGGGAAACCGAGUCUUAACCGGGCGUUAAGUUGCAGGGUAUAGACCCGAAACCCGGUGAUCUAGCCAUGGGCAGGUUGAAGGUUGGGUAACACUAACUGGAGGACCGAACCGACUAAUGUUGAAAAAUUAGCGGAUGACCUGUGGCUGGGGGUGAAAGGCCAAUCAAACCGGGAGAUAGCUGGUUCUCCCCGAAAGCUAUUUAGGUAGCGCCUCGUGAAUUCAUCUCCGGGGGUAGAGCACUGUUUCGGCUAGGGGGCCAUCCCGGCUUACCAACCCGAUGCAAACUGCGAAUACCGGAGAAUGUUAUCACGGGAGACACACGGCGGGUGCUAACGUCCGUCGUGAAGAGGGAAACAACCCAGACCGCCAGCUAAGGUCCCAAAGUCAUGGUUAAGUGGGAAACGAUGUGGGAAGGCCCAGACAGCCAGGAUGUUGGCUUAGAAGCAGCCAUCAUUUAAAGAAAGCGUAAUAGCUCACUGGUCGAGUCGGCCUGCGCGGAAGAUGUAACGGGGCUAAACCAUGCACCGAAGCUGCGGCAGCGAACGUAUCACUUAAAGCGAUUCAGCGGGUUACGAUUGACGGAGCGAAGCGACGUCAAAGCGUAUACAAAGUCGAGUCGGUUUAAGGAUACGUUCGUUGGGUAGGGGAGCGUUCUGUAAGCCUGCGAAGGUGGCCUGUGAGGGUUGCUGGAGGUAUCAGAAGUGCGAAUGCUGACAUAAGUAACGAUAAAGCGGGUGAAAAGCCCGCUCGCCGGAAGACCAAGGGUUCCUGUCCAACGUUAAUCGGGGCAGGGUGAGUCGACCCCUAAGGCGAGGCCGAAAGGCGUAGUCGAUGGGAAACGGGUUAAUAUUCCCGUACUUGGUGUUACUGCGAAGGGGGGACGGAGAAGGCUAUGUUGGCCGGGCGACGGUUGUCCCGGUUUAAGCGUGUAGGUGUGUGUUCCAGGUAAAUCCGGUUCACUUUAACACUGAGGCGUGACGACGAGGCACUACGGUGCUGAAGCAACAAAUGCCCUGCUUCCAGGAAAAGCCUCUAAGCAUCAGGUAACAUCAAAUCGUACCCCAAACCGACACAGGUGGUCAGGUAGAGAAUACCAAGGCGCUUGAGAGAACUCGGGUGAAGGAACUAGGCAAAAUGGUGCCGUAACUUCGGGAGAAGGCACGCUGAUAUGUAGGUGAAGCGGUUUACCCGUGGAGCUGAAAUCAGUCGAAGAUACCAGCUGGCUGCAACUGUUUAUUAAAAACACAGCACUGUGCAAACACGAAAGUGGACGUAUACGGUGUGACGCCUGCCCGGUGCCGGAAGGUUAAUUGAUGGGGUCAGCGCAAGCGAAGCUCCUGAUCGAAGCCCCGGUAAACGGCGGCCGUAACUAUAACGGUCCUAAGGUAGCGAAAUUCCUUGUCGGGUAAGUUCCGACCUGCACGAAUGGCGUAAUGAUGGCCAGGCUGUCUCCACCCGAGACUCAGUGAAAUUGAACUCGCUGUGAAGAUGCAGUGUACCCGCGGCAAGACGGAAAGACCCCGUGAACCUUUACUAUAGCUUGACACUGAACAUUGAGCCUUGAUGUGUAGGAUAGGUGGGAGGCUUUGAAGUGUGGACGCCAGUCUGCAUGGAGCCGACCUUGAAAUACCACCCUUUAAUGUUUGAUGUUCUAACGUGGACCCGUGAUCCGGGUUGCGGACAGUGUCUGGUGGGUAGUUUGACUGGGGCGGUCUCCUCCUAAAGAGUAACGGAGGAGCACGAAGGUUGGCUAAUCCUGGUCGGACAUCAGGAGGUUAGUGCAAUGGCAUAAGCCAGCUUGACUGCGAGCGUGACGGCGCGAGCAGGUGCGAAAGCAGGUCAUAGUGAUCCGGUGGUUCUGAAUGGAAGGGCCAUCGCUCAACGGAUAAAAGGUACUCCGGGGAUAACAGGCUGAUACCGCCCAAGAGUUCAUAUCGACGGCGGUGUUUGGCACCUCGAUGUCGGCUCAUCACAUCCUGGGGCUGAAGUAGGUCCCAAGGGUAUGGCUGUUCGCCAUUUAAAGUGGUACGCGAGCUGGGUUUAGAACGUCGUGAGACAGUUCGGUCCCUAUCUGCCGUGGGCGCUGGAGAACUGAGGGGGGCUGCUCCUAGUACGAGAGGACCGGAGUGGACGCAUCACUGGUGUUCGGGUUGUCAUGCCAAUGGCACUGCCCGGUAGCUAAAUGCGGAAGAGAUAAGUGCUGAAAGCAUCUAAGCACGAAACUUGCCCCGAGAUGAGUUCUCCCUGAGACUUAGAGUCUCCUGAAGGAACGUUGAAGACGACGACGUUGAUAGGCCGGGUGUGUAAGCGCAGCGAUGCGUUGAGCUAACCGGUACUAAUGAACCGUGAGGCUUAACCUUACAACGCCGAAG
rnacentral:rRNA from 8 species